GGUUUUCUAUAUAUUUUCAUGGAUGAAAUUCACAUGAGAAAAACAAAAACCAAGUAGGCUUCUGAUUUGGAAAGAUCAUAUAACAAUACCUGACUUUAGUUUAGGUAUUGCAAUACUCAUUUUCUUAUAUCAAAUUUCUCAUCAGAUGCAAUAACAAAAUUCGUCUGUAAUAUUAUAGCAUAUUAUUUAAUUAUUAUUAUUAGUAGAAUUUAUUGAUAAUUAGAUAUCAUAUAACUAACAUUAAAUUUGUGUUUCCAAUUUCAUUUAACUAAUUUAAUUCAUUAUUUCUGUGACUGUAUUGCAUGUUCUAAAACAUAGGUAGAUCUUCAGUCAGUAGUUUUCAUAUACUAACCUGAUGAUAUUGUAAUGUUUUUGCUGUGAAAGAUGAAAUCGAUUAUUUGAUUAGUAGCAACACCCAUUGAUUUUUGAUGCAUCCAUUUGUUGGAUCUCUUCUUACCUGCUUGCAAACUCACAUGGUUCAGACAUCUAAUAAUAGAAAAUAUAAUUCCUGAAAAAGAUCUUUCAGCAACAGUUUAUAAGAUCAACUAUACAAAAUAUACAAGUUUUUCAAGUAAAAAAUUAAGNUUUUAUAUGUUUAUAAAUUUAACCAGAUGUCAUUCUUUUAAUUAUUUUGAAAGAAAAAAAAAAGCAUAAUAAAUUAAGGUGGUAUGUGUUUAUAAAAUAUGAAAACUUAUGAAAACUUACCCAUUGAAAAGCUUUGGCAGCAAAGAAAGAAAGGAAAAACAUUUGGUGCUCUCGGCGGCGGCAAAGAAAGAUCAAAGAAAGCUGGUGAGUUUUAGGGUUUUAUGAUAACUUUAUAUAGAGGAAUAUGAGGUCACUGUUUUUGUUUUAAUUAUGUGGUUAUAAAAGUUCUCUCAUCAUUUAAUUAUUUUUAUUAAAUAACACCAGUAAAUCAAUUUCAUAAAACAUGAAAAUAGAUAUAAAAUUAUCAUUUUGUGCAAUAUGC
rnacentral:lncRNA from 1 species